AGUAAAAGGAUUAAAUUCCAUUUCCGAGGUUAAAGAAUAGAGAAAAAACAGAUAGGAAUCUGUUUUAGAUGGAUGAGAAUGAAGGAGUUUUAAAAGAGUUUACGAGUUGACAUAUAUCAAACUCCCAUUUAUUACCGUUUCACAACCAUAAUCAACCACAAAUUUAGACACUUCAAACUAAAGCAAAAAAUUUAUUAUCGGCAAUUCAAACCAAAGAAAGUCAUUUAACUACAGCAAGUUUUAAAUAGCCUAACUAACAACAUCAAUGCAAACACACUAAACGCAUUAACUACCUAACCAUAAAGCUUUCAAUGGCAGUAAAAGUUUUAAACAUUUACCUGUUUUGCGCAGGGGAAUACGCUCCUCUGGUUGCAGAUGAUCCUUCCUGUUUUGCUUCAGUGAUGGAGCUCAAGACACAGACAGACAAGCAAAAACAAAACAACAAUGAGAAACUGAGGUAGAGAGACAAACAAACAUAAACAAAUCAAAUUUUUUUUUUUUUUUUGUCGUUGGUUAAUUACGCUAUUACAAACUAUGAGAAAUGUUACAAGACGAUUCUACAACCGGCAAUUCUACCUGCCUUGUGAGGAUUCACGCCUGGCUGCAUCAUCCUGAGCCAUCUUAUGAGAUCCAUGCCUGACGGUACUUUUUGCGCCAUGCCGAAGAUCUCCUGUAUGUUUUUCUCCAUAAAUCUGCAAUUCGCUUCCAGAAUGCAAUAGACCUCUGUUCAUUCCCCACUACUGUAUCUUUGCUCGUGUUUAACCACGAGCUGAUGAGCACAAUGUCGUCAGUUGAAGACCACGUCCUCCUCUCCUUACGGCUGCCUUGAGUCUCUUCACCAAUGUUCGAAUCGUGUGUGGCUUGACUAGCAAAGAAGGGAAGCUGUGACUCGGGUACAUUACCAAAGACCACAUUCUGUUGACUGCUAAGCAGGUCAACAAAGUUUGAAGGCUCAGUAAAAGGAUUAAAUUCCAUUUCCGAGGUUAGAGAAUAGAGAAAAAACAAAUAGGAAUCUGUUUUAGAUAGAUGAGAAGGAAGGAGUUUUAAGGAGAGUCUACGAGUUGACAUUUAUCUAACUCCCAUUUAUUACAGUUUCACAACCAUAAUCAACCACAAAUUUAGACAAUUCAAACUAAAGCAAACAAUUUAUUAUCGGCAAUUCAAACCAAAGAAAGUCAUUUAACUACAGCAAGUUUUAAAUAACCUAACUAACAACAUCAAUGCAAACACACCAAACAC
rnacentral:lncRNA from 1 species